UAUAUAAAUAAAUUAUAUAAAUGGGAUUAUAAUAUAUGUACAUCAAUAUAUAUAUAUAUAUAAUUUGCAUAAU
rnacentral:tRNA from 1 species